rnacentral:tRNA from 1 species
GUUCCUAUGGUCUAGUGGUUAUGACGCUUCGUUGUGGCUCGCCGAAGCAGCCCGUGUUCGAUUCACGGUGGGGACA